rnacentral:tRNA from 1 species
CAGUAGCUGAGUGGAUAACGCGAUGGCAUUCGAAGCAAAGGGUACUGGGUUCGAGUCCCAGAGUGAA